UCUGUCCUGUCACAUGUGUGUAUAUUGAUUGAUAGGUGUACCCCCUCUGUCACAUGUGUGUUUAUUGAUUGAUAGGUUUACCCCCUGUGUGUUUAUUGAUUGAUAGGUGUACCCCCUCUGUUUGUAAAUGGUGCCGCUCACCUCUGUAUAUGUAUCCCUGUCUUGUCCUAUGUAGUUAGUGUAGUCUAGUCUUGUCUUGCUCUGGUAGAGAAUGUGUAAGUGUGGACUCAACAGCUGAAAUGUGUCCUCUGCUUUCGAGAGGCCAGGAGAAUUAUUUCUGAAUUAUUUUUUAAUUUAGUUUUCUUUGUUUUCACUUCACGGGUUGGCUUAUGGGAU
ensembl:lncRNA